CCUACGGGAGGCAGCAGUGAGGAAUAUUGGUCAAUGGGCGCGAGCCUGAACCAGCCAAGUAGCGUGAAGGAGGACUGCCCUACGGGUUGUAAACUUCUUGUAUAAAGGAAGAAAGUGAGGCACGUGGGCCUGUUUGUAUGUACUUUAUGAAUAAGGAUCGGCUAACUCCGUGCCAGCAGCCGCGGUAAUACGGAGGAUCCGAGCGUUAUCCGGAUUUAUUGGGGUUAAAGGGAGCGUAGAGGGGUUGUUAAGUCAGUGGUGAAAGGUUGCGGCUCAACCGUAAAAUGGCAAUUGAUACUGGCAGUCUUGCGUGCAGUUGCGGUCGGCGGCAUU
rnacentral:rRNA from 1 species